rnacentral:tRNA from 1 species
GCGCCCGUGGCGGAACUGGCAGACGCGCUGGAUUUAGGUUCCAGUGUCUUCGGACGUGGGGGUUCAAGUCCCCCCGGGCGCA